CACGAAGCCGGAAUCGCUAGUAAUCGCGAAUCAGAAUGUCGCGGUGAAUACGUUCCCGGGUCUUGUACACACCGCCCGUCACACCAUGGGAGUCGGAAAUGCCCGAAGUCAGUGACCUAACCGAAAGGGAGGAGCUGCCGAAGGUGGAGCCGGUAACUGGGGUGAAGUCGUAACAAGGUAUC
rnacentral:rRNA from 1 species